CGACGAGUUUGAUCAUGGCUCAGAUUGAACGCUGGCGGCAUGCUUUACACAUGCAAGUCGAACGGCAGCACGGGGGCAACCCUGGUGGCGAGUGGCGAACGGGUGAGUAAUGCAUCGGAACAUACCCAGUCGUGGGGGAUAACGUAGCGAAAGUUGCGCUAAUACCGUAUACGUCCUGAGGGAGAAAGCGGGGGAUCGCAAGACCUCGCGCGAUUGGAGUGGCCGAUGUCAGAUUAGCUAGUUGGUGGGGUAAAGGCCCACCAAGGCGACGAUCCUUAGCUGGUCUGAGAGGAUGAUCAGCCACACUGGGACUGAGACACGGCCCAGACUCCUACGGGAGGCAGCAGUGGGGAAUAUUGGACAAUGGGGGAAACCCUGAUCCAGCAAUGCCGCGUGCGUGAAGAAGGCCUUAGGGUUGUAAAGCGCUUUCACCUGUGAUGAUGAUGACAGUAGCAGGAGAAGAAGCCCCGGCUAACUCCGUG
rnacentral:rRNA from 1 species